CAUCACAGAAACGCAGGAAUGGCUGAACCUCCUAAAAGACGAUAUUCAUCUGCAUCCUGAAGAAACGCUCCCGACAAGAAACCGCGUUCAACGGCAAAGAAAAGAAGCGACACGAGUAAAUCUGGAUGUGGCUUCCCGCCGCUGGAGAAGCUCCUGAGAGGAAAGAGAUGCGGUUUGAUGCCGAGCUCGCAACUUUCCUGUUAGCCCGGACCUGAGCCAGUACAGGUGCAAUACCGCCUCCACCUGUCUCACCAACAGCUGAGAGUCCAGACACAGUGAGGAGGGUCCAGGAGCAGAAGUCCAGUCUAAUCACCAGUGAUGGAGCAGCACCUGCCUUUUCUUCUGCAUCUGGCCUCAUCAAUCAUCAACCACAUGACAUCAACACCUUGAGGUAUGAUCCCUGCACAUGACCGAUAUUGUCUGUACUAUGAUCUUUUGCACAUCUUGCCCAGCAGGAGUUUUGUCAUUCUAAAAUACUCUUGUACAUAGUUGUGUAGUAUCGUUUUCAUUGUUUUGUUUUAUUUUUUUAUAUUCGUCUGUUGCAGUAUUCUACUUUAUUUUAUGUCCUAUGAAUAAGUUAAUUGGAUACUACACCAAGCCAAAUAUAAUAUUAUAUGGAAAUAAACCUUAUUUCCUGAAUCUGCCUUGGUGAUGAUGUCAUCAUCCCUUCCUCAUGCUGCUAUAGCCCACCCAUGAUUAUUAAUAUAUUUGGUUUUAAUAUUACAAUAAAAAAAUUUUUUUUAAAAGUUUGGAAACUUGCUGUGUCUGAUUUUGUUCUUAAGGAAUUUAUUGUGAUAUAGUGAUGGAGUAAUGAGGAACUGCUCAGUAACAACUGUUUAUCACUUCACUGACCAAAGCUCUACAAAUACUAAACUACCAGUUAAACCACAACCAUGUAAUGUUUAACAUAGCCUGCUUUAUGCUGAGGGAUGUGUAUUAGUCAGCAGAUGUUUUUAAAACCAAAACUGUUGUUGG